GGCUUAGUAGCUCAGUUGGUAGAGCAAAGGACUGAAAAUCCUUGUGUCGGCGGUUCGAUUCCGUCCUGAGCCACCA
rnacentral:tRNA from 1 species